UAAACCCAGGAAAGACUCUCCUUGCGUCUGAAACAGUCCAGAAACGUCCUACAACAAGUCACAACCAAAAGCAACCUUGAAGCAAACUUGACAUGAAAAAUAGAAACAAACAACCUU
rnacentral:sRNA from 1 species